rnacentral:rRNA from 1 species
GACAGAGGGUGCAAACGUUGUUCGGAAUUACUGGGCGUAAAGCGUGUGUAGGCGGUCUCUUAAGUCGGAUGUGAAAGCCCCGGGCGCAACCCGGGAAGUGCACUCGAAACUGGGAGGCUAGAGUACUGGAGAGGUUGGUGGAAUUCUCGGUGUAGAGGUGAAAUUCGUAGAUAUCGAGAGGAACACCGGUGGCGAAGGCGGCCAACUGGACAGAUACUGACGCUGAGACGCGAAAGCGUGGGGAGCAAACAGG